ensembl:lncRNA
GUCAGCAGCUCAGGAGUGACUGGUCUGAGCUGAGUCCUGAAGGGUGCCUCAGGAACUGUGGUCUUCAGCCCCCCUCCCAAGCUCACAGAUCCAAAGGCACAAUUCACGAACCCGAAGUGACGUCCGUUCCUUUCCUCCACCCUGCCCAGCCUGCCAUGGGUGGCCGUUGUGACACCUUGGUGGAGCUGGAAAUGCACAGUGGUCUGAACCCAUGUCCACUGUCAGGGCCUGGAGCCUUGGGGGCGGGUGUCCCAUCGUAAUGAGGAUGCCCAUGCUGCAGAGGCGGCACUCUGGCGUCAGGGGCUCAGGAGGGACAGGGCCUCGCUCAGCAGGCCCCCAGCCUGCUCCCCAGCCCCUGGGAGGCAGGGGUAUAAGGAAGGCUGCCUCAUCCAGACGCCCAGCAGAGCCUUCCGACUGGAGUCCCAGCCCCACCAGAGAGGGGGCUGGCACUGGCCACAUUCACCUGUAUUCUCCGCAUCUGGAACAACAGCUGGAGUGCCAUUGGUGCUCAGGAGAUCCCACACCCAGGAAAGGAGAGAUGAUGCAGUAGCUCUGGCCGCUGCCGGGCCUUUGAGCCCCUGGAGCCCUCGCUGCAGGUCCCCUGGGCUGCUGGGCUCGGAGCCGUAUGCUGCCACCCUCAGCCACGCAGGGACCAGCUGAAAAGGUGUGUAUUAUGAGAAAGAGGGUCACCAAACGCAGGCGCUUUAGGGGCCUUCAUCCAGCACAUGGACUCAAGCACAACAUUCGGCUUGCUGCUCCAGACAUUGGUGGUCUGGCGUGUUGCUGCUGGCGGUGCAGAAUAGCUCAGGAAGGACCUCUGGAAGCCACCUGCUGUCAGGAACACUGCCUGGAGGAGGCAGCAGGGCCAGCAAGAUAAAGCAGUCUGGGGCCGUGCAGAGGCGGGCCAAAGUCCCCAGCACCUGGCCACUUCUGAGUGAUCUAAAGCAGGGUAAGAUGGAGGGGGUGCUGGUGACCGAGUGGAGGCAGGGAGCAGAAGUGGCCAAGUGACAUGUCCCAAGUGGCAAGGGACAUGAACUUCGGCUUCGUCCCAAUUUUGAGGCAGGGCUGGCAAGCCUCCACCACCUUGGCAUGGAGGGUGGGGGCGUCACCUGUUGAGUAACCAAGCAAGGCUGGACCAGGAGAUGCUUAACCCGGUGUGGAAAGCAGAGUCUCCUGGGACCUGGGCUCCCCCAGCCGAGCUAUGCCAGGUGUAGGAGGGGACCUGGAGUUUGGGCAGCUGAGCUUGGGGCGCCUGCAGGGCGAGGGCCAGGGAGCCUCCACCUCCCAGAAAGCUGGCACACCAGGCUGCUGGCCGGCUGCCCAGAGGACAGUGGGAUAGCGGCUCCCCACACACAAAAAAAAGAGGUGGUUGAGGUUGGGGACAGGGUCAGACGGAAGGCCCAGGCGCUGCCUUCCUCCGGGCCUGGCUCCUCUGCAGCUCUGGCGCUCAGCCUGGACCCUGCGCCCCUCCCCUCCUUAGGGGUGGACCAACCCAGGGUCCCAUGGACCUGUCCCCGGGCUACUUUCCUCACGCCACCCUCGGAGAGCCGGCUGGGCCUGGCCUCCUGUGUGCCCAGCUCCAGGCCACACCUCGGAAGGCAGCUGCUGCCCGCCCACUGCUGAUGGGAGCCAGUGGCCACACUCUGGUCGCCCAGGCCCCCUGGACGCAGGCGUCCAACUUCCGCUGUCCUCCACGGGCUGACCUUCCAGGCAGGUGCAUUGCUCCAGCCCCACACCAGCCCCGUUCCCUUCCACCCGAGGGCUGGGCCUCAGGCAGUGACUCUGGGGAGCCUGGCCU